CUCGAUUGAUUGUUUUUGUGAAGAUCGCGCAGGCAUAACCCGGGUGCGUUUAUAAUGUGAGAUGUAUUGUGAUGAUGCCAAGACCUGGGUGAAUGCCAAUGUAUCGCCACCCAGGUCAAGUCCCAUGUGUUUUGUGUUCAAAACUAAGGUUAUGUUCUCAUCAGGCUCCAAGCAUAACCGGGAAAGCACGUUUCGACCCCGCUAGCUGGUCUUGGAACUACGUGCUCGCAUAUAAAUAUUCAUUUCUGUUCCUUUGAUGAAUUAUACAUGUUUUGCGCGAAAAAAUCUGUUGAUUAUUUCGUCUAGGAACAGUGUGAAUGUUAGUUGAAUUUGGUAUGUGUGCUUUGUGGUGGGUGAAAAUGAUAUGAUUCUAAUGCGUGAUGUGUUGAUUUUUGGUUUCGGAAUGUAAAAAUUGAAAUUUACUUACUCGUAUAACUGUGGUGAACCGUACUCUGCGUGUAGGCAAGGCGAAAGGAAUUCUUGGGAGGAGAGGGGUUCUAAAAUUACGCCCGGGGGGGGGGGCGAAAGACGAAUCCUAAAAUGUAGGGGGGUUUGAUUAGGGUGGGCUUAGUUAGGGUAGGGUUAGUUGAUAGGGUAGGGUUUGGAUUAUAAGGGUUGGGAAUAAGUUUUUGGGUUAAGGUUCCGGUGGGGAUUGGGUUAGGUUUGGGAUUACUGCCCAGAAUAGUGGAUUGAAAAGUGUUGAAUAGGGAGUGGGCCUGGGAAGUUUCGAGUGGGUUGGGUGUAUCGAUGUUGUGUGAAUGUGUCUCUGAUGAAAGUGGAAACAUCGGUUGAAAAUAUUGCACAUUCAUUGCACAGAAUCGCAAAUAGACCACAAAAUCUGCUAGAAAUGUUUUCAAAUGUGGCAACUCAAAGCUCGAG